rnacentral:rRNA from 1 species
CAGCCGCCGCAGUAAUACGUAGGGGGCGAGCGUUGUCCGGAAUUAUUGGGCGUAAAGCGCGCGCAGGCGGUCCCUUAAGUCUGAUGUGAAAGCCCACGGCUCAACCGUGGAGGGUCAUUGGAAACUGGGGGACUUGAGUGCAGAAGAGGAGAGCGGAAUUCCACGUGUAGCGGUGAAAUGCGUAGAGAUGUGGAGGAACACCAGUGGCGAAGGCGGCUCUCUGGUCUGUAACUGACGCUGAGGCGCGAAAGCGUGGGGAGCAAACAGGAUUAGAUACCCUGGUAGUCCACGCCGUAAACGAUGAGUGCUAAGUGUUAGAGGGGUUAAACCCUUUAGUGCUGUAGCUAACGCGUUAAGCACUCCGCCUGGGGAGUACGGCCGCAAGGCUGAAACUUAAAGGAAUUGGCGGG